rnacentral:rRNA from 1 species
UACGAAGGGGGCUAGCGUUGCUCGGAAUCACUGGGCGUAAAGCGCACGUAGGCGGAUCUUUAAGUCAGGGGUGAAAUCCUGGAGCUCAACUCCAGAACUGCCUUUGAUACUGGGGAUCUCGAGUCCGGAAGAGGUGAGUGGAACUCCGAGUGUAGAGGUGAAAUUCGUAGAUAUUCGGAAGAACACCAGUGGCGAAGGCGGCUCACUGGACCGGUACUGACGCUGAGGUGCGAAAGCGUGGGGAGCAAACAGG